CUCAUUUUUUGUGGAAACUGAUCAAAAUGUUUACAUUUAGAAAAAAAUGUGAAUAAAGCUAUCAAAUAUCUUUCUCUGAUGUCACAAGUGCUAGCUUGAUCAUCAUCAGACAUGUAGCAAUAGCCAAGUUUAGCAUACAAUGUCCACCCUGUUACUAUGUUUCACAGUAACAGGGUGGACAUACAGUAAGGGGUUGUUAAAAGGCUAGAUGAUUAACUAUUUCCAGCAUGUGCUGUUAUGUAUUGUUUGUUUAAUAUGCAUAUAUGUUAUAUAUAUAUAUAUAUAUAUUAAAUUAUAUGAUAUCUAAUGGUAUGAAUGUAUUUAUCAGGAAAUGGCAGCGUUGUCUAAUGCAGAAAAGCAGCGACGCUACAGGGCACGAAGGGAUUCAGACAAUGAAAGAAGGAAGCAGUACCUGGAUAAAGAGAAGGCAAAGUGGAAGAAAGACAGAGAAGAAGGGAAAAAAAAGAAAGUGUCAGACCUCAGUGAAAGAGAAAGGAGAGAACAGAGAAAGAAGUGGCAAGAAAAGAAGAAAAAGCUUAGGGAUAAAGCAAGAGCCAGCGUAAUGACCACUCCACCUCGAAGUCGAGACAAUGCAGCACAACAAGGGCCCUCAAGGCAAUACGUUGUUGGACGGAACAAUGUCAGAAGGGGGAGAAGGAGGCUCCAGAACCAGAUUGAAAAACUGGAGGCCACAUUGAAGAGAGAAAUUAGAGUAGCCUAAUUUUUAAGGAUUUAUGUUCUUAAUUAAAUAUGUUAUUGUAUUCACUGAUACAAGUCCUCCCUGUUACGUCCCGUUUCUCUUGUGUCCACCCUGUUACCUGUGUUUCUUUUUAUAAUAAUUAAAUGAAAUGAACAAAUAUGA